UGGGGAAUAUUGGACAAUGGGGGAAACCCUGAUCCAGCCAUUCCGCGUGAGUGAAGAAGGCCUUCGGGUUGUAAAGCUCUUUCGGCAGGAACGAAACGGUUUGGGCUAAUACCCCAGACUACUGACGGUACCUGAAGAAGAAGCACCGGCUAACUACGUGCCAGCAGCCGCGGUAAUACGUAGGGUGCGAGCGUUAAUCGGAUUUACUGGGCGUAAAGCAUGCGCAGGCGGCGGUUCAAGUCAGGUGUGAAAUCCCCGAGCUUAACUUGGGAAUUGCGCUUGAAACUAGAUCGCUAGAGUACGGCAGAGGGGGGUAGAAUUCCACGUGUAGCAGUGAAAUGCGUAGAGAUGUGGAGGAACACCGAUGGCGAAGGCAGCCCCCUGGGCCUGUACUGACGCUCAUGCAUGAAAGCGUGGGGAGCAAACAGGAUUAGAUACCCAUGUAGUCCCUGAGCGGGCUGGCAAGGCGCAU
rnacentral:rRNA from 1 species